rnacentral:lncRNA from 1 species
UUUGAGCGUUACAACAAGGUAAGAACCUGGGAUACGAAAGCUGUCGGCUAACAAAAACGGAAAGUUUCCUAAAACCCUACGACUACAAGACCUAAUUGAGUCGCAGCUCGAAUAACAAAAACGGAAAGUUUCCUAAAAUUGCUCUAAGUGCUAAGUUUGCUCUGAAAAAGUUCUCCCGUGUGCCUCUCGCCUACGACUCCUUAUAUACUCCUGCAAGGUCGGUUUUAGCUUUUCCCUUCAUGCCCUUAAGCCGUCUUAAGUGAAAA